GAUGAUUGAAAUUGGAAUUCAAUACAUACUUCAAUUAUUCAAUGAAAAGAAUUUUAUUAAAUCCAUGAAAAUCUAAUACAUAUUAAACCAAUUCCAAAACAUAUUUAAUAAACAGGAAAUCAUGAACCUAGAAUUGUUUAUCAAUGAAAAACCAAAUUACAUAUGUGAAGAGACAUUGACGUCACCGGCACCAAUCGAGCUCAUCCCUUGCUUCACUAAAGUUUUCUUAGCCUUCCAUGGAAUUUCUUGGCCAAAGAUGAGAGAAAAAUGGAGUCCAGGUUCAAUUCCCCACGUUCUUGAGUGUUUUUGGUCUUAAGAAAAACAUGUCAAAACGUAUUUCCAUAAGUGAUGGCGUUAAUUUAGGAAUUUGGCAAAUUUCGUCUUGGAGGAUAACUAUGCGACCAUAUGGUUAUAAGCCAUGUGGUCGCAUAGAAAAAAUGUGUGGCACCCAAAAGUUCCCUAGACCCUAUGUGACCGCAUAGUUCAAAUUUUUUUCCGUCAGACAGCUUUUAGUAUUUUGGCCAUAACUUUUUCUUUUGAUGUUCGAUUGAAGUGAUUCAAGUUGCGUUGGACAGCUAACUCGAAGUUCUACAACUAUGCUUCAAAAGUAACCUUCCAAUUUGAUCAUUUUACAUAUCAAAAAUGGGUCUUAACAUGAGGCUGAAACCGGUGCGUAACUUUUUCAAUUGUGAAUUGAUUUGUAAAGAUGUUAUGGUCAUAUUUCACUUCUUUUGAUUUCAAAUUACACCCAGUUGACUCCUAACUUUCUUGAAUCAUCAUUUCAUCACCCGUCUCAUUAUGAAUUAUUUGCAACUUGGUCUCUGAACUUUCACUUUCUUCCACUUUGACCUUUUUUACUCAUUUCUUCCAAAUUUCACAUUUUCCAUCAAAUUGUGAUCUAGAUCAAAAUAUAAGAGUAAUGAGUGUAUUUUGACAUCAAGUAAUUAUACAAAUUCAACAAUUAAGAGGAAAAAGUAUUAUAUUUUACACUCUUAUCAAAUGACUAUAUUUAGAGAGAGGAGAUCAAACCUUAGCAAGCAAUUGAAGCUCAAUUAUAUAAAGAUAUUGAAGAUUUCAAUCUUGGACUUGAAGAUCAAUAUCUUUUGUAUUCUUUCAUGAUCUAAGUGAUAUUUUUCCAUUAUUCUUCUUGUAAUUUAUCUAUUAAUAUGUUAUGCUAGAUCCCUUUUCAUUCUGGAUAAAGAUGAACACUAUUUAUUAUUUAUUUCUAAUUCAAGACUAAUAGUUUAAUAUUUCUUGCAUUUCUUGAUUCAUUUUAUAUGCCCAUUGUAUUAUUUAAUUGAUUGACUCACAAUAAAUUUGGAAUGCAAUAAAAUUAAUAUAUAUGCAAUAGAUGUUAGGAAUAACAUUUAUUACUAGUGCAAUCAUAUAGAUUAUCUAAACUUUAAUACAUUCUAAUUACUCGCAUUCAGGUUAGAAAUAUAUUCGGGUCGUGGUUAGAAUAUAUUUAAUUUGUCUUGAAAAAGAAAAUUAUAUAUCAUAGCUUUAUUAGUUGUCAGGAACACAUGAAUGAAACUAGAUUACAAAUCAAGAGUUGAAAUAUAUAGCAAUAAGCGGAUUCGAAAUUCAAUACAAUCAUCCAUAAUUUCAUAAAAACCAAACUUCUAUUGAUUUCUGAGAUAAUUUAGCAUAAAAUAAAAACAAAAUCUCUCUUUUGUUUUAUCUAAUUUGAAUUCCAUAUGAAACUAGUAAACUUGAAUUGAAAUUAUUCCCCGUGGAACGAUACUUUCAACUUACUGAAUCUAUAACUUGUCAAUGAUCCGUACGCUUGCGGGUUUCGCAAGAAACAACAUCACUUACUUUACUAGCUAAUUUUAUUUGUAACAGAUAUUAUAGUGCUAGUUUGUGUUGACUAUUAUUGUCAAUCCUUCCCUUUCCAAACCUUCAUAGACCCCAAAACCAAUUAAUCAGGAGCAUAUAAUGUCUACGUUCCUAGUGGACAUGUUAGCUGAUCAUGUCGGUAUAUUUUGAUGUACAUAAGAAAUAUUUGAUAUUCUCUUUCCAAAUAUUAUCAAUGUAAAUGUAAAAGGAAAUAUGUAUAUAGUUAUCCAUCCACUUACUACUUAGAUGCCACAACUUAUAGCUAUUGAUGUUGAGUGAUUAUAUGCUAGUAGAAUAGGUAAAUACAAUAUACACACAACUAUUGAUUAUAUCAAAUAUAAGUACUUCUAUGCGAAGUGCACAGUACUUGCACAAGAUGUAGAAAUAGUUUGUGGCUCAAGAAUAAAUGACUAAUAACUUAGCUCAAAGUGUUGGGUAAUUUCCCCUUUGGCAAGAAUAAAUUCACAAUCCAAGCAAACAACCAAUUAAAUUUCAAAAAAAACAAUAUAGAAAGAACACACCAAAUUUUUUAAAAAGACCACAAGACAACUCUGGCCAAAUCCAAUAUAAUAAACAGAAAUUACAACGUUCAAAUUUAUGCGCAAAACUUGAGUUCUUAACAAGUUGGGAAUACAACAAUAAUCAAUUUCUAAAACAACAAAUAAUCUCACCACAAAUCAGCAAUUUGAAAAAACCUGUGAAAUACGCACUUUGAAUACUACACCUCUAGCGUACCAAAAUACAUCACUUAGAGAAAUCUUCAGUUUGUACAGUGUAGAGAAAUAUCUGUGUGAAAUCUACACCCAAAGUUGAAAGAAAAACCAUUUUUCUCUUUUAUUUCUCUCCACCCAUACAAUCUCUGUUUUUUCUUUUAUUACGUAGCCAUAGUUUCACAUCUAGUAGGCUCAAUUCUUUUCCUUCUCACAAAGCAACCUCAAUUUUGUAUAUAUUAAUAGGCAGCCACGGUUUUUAACUAUAUGUACGUAUAAUGUGACCUAAAAUACAAUAUAUAAUGGAUUUGGGCUACUUAUCUCCUCAUGGGCUAGAAUCCCAUAUAACAAAAAGGGUGGUGUUGACCCAACCCAGUCAGCGUCCCUGGUAAACAAACAGUGGAUAAAAACCCACAAGGCCGAUGUCAUUGCUUCGCUCCGUUCUAUUUGGUGUGCUACGCUUGCCUCACUCUAUAUCGCUCCGCUCCGACGUUGGCCUAUUUGAUCCAGUAAAUCUGUGUUCCACUUUAUAUGAUGCCACGUGCACAAUAGUCUCCCCCUUGACGAAUAUUCACCACUUAAGAGAAAAUACUGAAAAUCAUAGCCUUAGGCGAAUAUUUACCCUUUAGUAGAAAAGAUAACAAAUUCAAAGAAAAUGCAUAAAAAAUGGCUACUAAUAGAGUACCAGAAGUGGUUCCUUCUCCACCUGAAGACAGUGAAAAACUCAUGAACGCUUUCAAGGGUACCUCUUCGCACAUACAUUUUUUUUCUUUCCGGGUUUUCUGUUUCUGAUAUAAUAUUGUUAAUUAAUGCAAGUGCUAUGUUUCCUUUUCCUUGAUUUUGUUUACGUGAAUACAUGCAUCAUGCAUUAUGCUUUAGGGGUUUGUUGUUUUGAAGGACUGGGAACAGACGAGAAGGCAAUAAUUAGGGUGUUGGGGCAAAAAAAUGCAAGCCAAAGGAAGAAAAUCAAAGAGAUGUUUCAGCAGAUUUACAAGAAGUCCCUUAUAGAUUUUCUCGAUUCUGAAUUAUCUGGUGAUUUUGGGGUACAUAUUUUUCUAUUAUCUACCCUUUAUUCAUCUUGAUGUAUGAAUUUGAAGGUAAAAGUAAUCCCAAAUUUGAAUAAGUUUUGUUAAAUAGCAUCAAAUUUACGAAUUAUUUUGUGCUUCUUUGCAUAAUUUGAACGUUCCUUUCAAUAACUUGAAUUUGAAGGCAUUGAUAAUUACUUCUAUAUGUGCAUAUUAUUAACACAAAUCUACCAGAUCAGCCAGCUCAAGGAAUUAGCAUCAAUUUCUCACAAUUAGCAUCAGAUCAGCCGGCUCAUGGAAUCAUCACAAAUUUCUCACAAUUAGCAUCAAUUUCUGGAGCUGAUCACUGUGUGAAGAUCCUUGCCUAAAAUCAAUACCAAGAAGAAAUUUUGAGUUGUAUCAAAUGAAAUCACUUUUUUAUUCUUUUACAACAGGAGCAACAAGAGAGGAUUACAGACAUAUAUAUAGAGGAAGGAAGAAGCUAUGCAACCGUUGAAAAAUAUUGCAAAGAAAGAAAGGAAUUAAUUUAUGGUGACUGCAGCAGAAUUUCCUUUCUUGAGACUGAGUAUAAAAGGACAUUUUUUCUUGAUUUUAGGCAAGGAUCUUCACACAGUGAUCAGCUCCAGAAACUGAUGCUAAUUGUGAAAAAUUUGUGAUGAUUUCGUGAGCUGGCUCAUCUGAUGCUAAUUAGCAUCAGAUCGGCCAGCUCAUGGAAUCAUCACAAAUUUCUCACAAUUAGCAUCAAUUUCUGGAGCUGAUCACCGUGUGAAGAUCCUUGCCUAAAAUCAAGAAAAAAUGUCCUUUUAUACUCAGCCUCAAGAAAGGAAAUUCUGCUGCAGUCAAAUUAGCAUCAGAUCAGCCAGCUCAUGGAAUCAUCACAAAUUUCUCACAAUUAGCAUCAAUUUCUGGAGCUGAUCACUGUGUGAAGAUCCUUGCCUAAAAUCAAGAAAAAAUGUCCUUUUAUACUCAGCCUCAAGAAAGGAAAUUCUGCUGCAGUCACCAUAAAUUAAUUCCUUUCUUUCUUUGCAAUAUUUUUCAACGGUUGUAUAGCUUCUUCCUUCCUCUAUAUAUAUAUGCCUGUAAUCCUCUCUUGUUGCUCACGUUGUAAAAGAACAAAAAAGUGAUUUCAUUUGAUACAACUCAAAAUUUCUUCUCAUAUACCUAGCAUUUCAUUUGGUGAAAGCAUGUGUUUGAUAAAUCAAUUCGUUAGAAAGGAAAUCCCAUAUGUGCAGAUGUUUCUUAAAUGCUAUCGGUACUUCUAUUUGGAUUGGUUUUGUGUCUUGGAUUUGCUCCCAAACACUCAAACUGAUGUAUUUCUCAAAACAAAGAGUCCAAUUUAAUUUGUCACAUAUUUCUCAAUAUGUGAAGGCAAAAGUUAUAAUGAUUUUAUCUAAAUAGGGGUUAAGUAUUAUCAGCUCUAUAAUGUAAAUAUUAGACCAAGGAGACAGAUUUCUGGUGACGAAUUUUCCAAAUUAAAAACGCAUGUCAAAGUAAUCCUUUUAUCUUUACUAAACUGUCAACGUAAUCGUUAAACAGUCUUGUUCCAAGAGAUUUAAAAAUGCUGAUUUCGAUAUCUGAUGAGUGACAGAGAG
rnacentral:lncRNA from 1 species